UGGCUAUAUGUUUCGUUGAAUAGUGAAAAUUCUUUCUUAAUGAAUUUCCUUGACGUUUUAAUACUUUACAUAGAAAAAAAAAAUGGAAUUUUGUUCGUGUUGUUGUGUGUGAUUAUUAUAGGUGCUCUUUCGAACGUGGCACUUGCUAGUUCGAUGAUAGCGAUUUUGGGUAAGAUUGUGUCUUCUCUUUCUUUAAAGAAAAAAAGAUAAGUCUUCGUUGAAUCAUAUGUGCUCUAACCUUUGCUUGUUGUCUUUUUCACUAAAACAAAAUGUUUUCCAAAAAACAAAUAUGCUUUCCUUUUCUCUGUUUUUUUUUCGGUUUUCAGUGCCCUAAUAUCAUAAAAGUCCAUUCGUGCAGGUAUGCAUUGAUAAUUGUUUUCCGAAAGUAGGAGCAAUGAACUAUAAUUAAUCUUGUUAUUUUCAUCCGAAAAAAUUGUAGAUCUGAUAGCUUUAUGCCAAACCAUAUCCUAAACACUAAUUAUUUGCUUAAGGGACAUUUCAG
rnacentral:lncRNA from 1 species